rnacentral:tRNA from 2 species
GCCCGGGUGGUCUAGUGGUAUGAUUCGCGCUUAGGGUUCACCCAAAGCAUAGCUGCGCGAGGUCCCCGGUUCGAUCCCGGGCUCGGGCC